CAACCCGAUGCAAACUACGAAUACCGAAGAAUGUUAUCACGGGAGACACACGGCGGGUGCUAACGUCCGUCGUGAAGAGGGAAACAACCCAGACCGCCAGCUAAGGUCCCAAAGUCAUGGUUAAGUGGGAAACGAUGUGGGAAGGCACAGACAGCCAGGAUGUUGGCUUAGAAGCAGCCAUCAUUUAAAGAAAGCGUAAUAGCUCACUGGUCGAGUCGGCCUGCGCGGAAGAUGUAACGGGGCUAAACCAUGCACCGAAGCUGCGGCAGCGACACUAUGUGUUGUUGGGUAGGGGAGCGUUCUGUAAGCCUGCGAAGGUGUGCUGUGAGGCAUGCUGGAGGUAUCAGAAGUGCGAAUGCUGACAUAAGUAACGAUAAAGCGGGUGAAAAGCCCGCUCGCCGGAAGACCAAGGGUUCCUGUCCAACGUUAAUCGGGGCAGGGUGAGUCGACCCCUAAGGCGAG
rnacentral:rRNA from 1 species